GAUGAACGCUGGCGGCGUGCUUAACACAUGCAAGUCGAACGGUGAAGGCGGAGCUUGCUCUGCUGGAUCAGUGGCGAACGGGUGAGUAACACGUGAGCAAUCUGCCCCUGACUCUGGGAUAAGCGCUGGAAACGGCGUCUAAUACUGGAUACGAGCUGCGAAGGCAUCUUCAGCAGCUGGAAAGAACUUCGGUCAGGGAUGAGCUCGCGGCCUAUCAGCUUGUUGGUGAGGUAACGGCUCACCAAGGCGUCGACGGGUAGCCGGCCUGAGAGGGUGACCGGCCGCACUGGGACUGAGACACGGCCCAGACUCCUACGGGAGGCAGCAGUGGGGAAUAUUGCACAAUGGGCGAAAGCCUGAUGCAGCAACGCCGCGUGAGGGACGACGGCCUUCGGGUUGUAAACCUCUUUUAGCAGGGAAGAAGCGAAAGUGACGGUACCUGCAGAAAAAGCGCCGGCUAACUACGUG
rnacentral:rRNA from 1 species